rnacentral:snoRNA from 1 species
UGGACCAAUAUGACUACUGGUGGCAUAUGAGUCAUGGGUGAGGAAUGUGGGUGAUGAUACGUGUGGAACUGUUGAGGUCCAG